UACGAAGGGCAUGACGACGUUGUUCGGAUUCACUGGGCGUAAAGGGUGCGUAGGCGGGUCUUUAAGUCAGGGGUGAAAUCCUGGAGCUCAACUCCAGAACUGCCUUUGAUACUGAGGAUCUUGAGUACGGGAGAGGAGUAGUGGAAUUCCCAGUGUAGAGGUGAAAUUCGUAGAUAUUGGGAAGAACACCGGUGGCGAAGGCGGCUAUCUGGACCGUAACUGACGCUGAGGCGCGAAAGCGUGGGGAGCAAACAGG
rnacentral:rRNA from 1 species